AAACCAUGGUGAGGACAGUGCAUGCGAUAGUCCUUGAAUCUCUGCCAUGCCUCAUAAAAAGGCUCCUCUAAAUGCUGAUGGAAAGUGGUGAUUUUUUUUCUCAUUAC